GACAGAGGUGGCAAGCGUCGUUCGGAUUCAUUGGGUGUAAAGGGCAGGUAGGUGGCCUUGUAAGUUCGGUGUGAAAUCCCAGAGCUCAACUCUGGAACUGCAUUGAAAACUGCAAGGCUUGAAUACCGGAGAGGUGAGGGGAAUUCUCGGUGUAAGGGUGAAAUCUGUAGAUAUCGUCAAGAACACCGAUAGUGUAGACAGCUUACUAAGCUUUAACUGACGCUGAGGCACGAAAGUGUGGGGAUCAAACAGG
rnacentral:rRNA from 1 species